rnacentral:rRNA from 1 species
GACGAACGCUGGCGGCGUGCUUAACACAUGCAAGUCGAACGAUGAAGCUAGAGCUUGCUCUGGUGAAUUAGUGGCGAACGGGUGAGUAACACGUGGGUAACCUGCCCCGAACUCUGGGAUAACUGCUGGAAACGGUAGCUAAUACUGGAUACGACCUACGAAGGCAUCUUCUGUAGGUGGAAAGAAUUUCGGUUCGGGAUGGACUCGCGGCCUAUCAGCUUGUUGGUGAGGUAAUGGCUCACCAAGGCGACGAGGGGUAGCCGGCCUGAGAGGGUGACCGGCCACACUGGGACUGAGACAUGGACAAGACUCCUACGGGAGGCAGCAGUGGGGAAUAUUGCACAAUGGGCGCAAGCCUGAUGCAGCAACGCCGCGUGAGGGAUAACGGCCUUCGGGUUGUAAACCUCUUUUAGUAGGGAAGACGCGAAAGUGACGGUACCUGCAGAAAAAGCACGGGCUAACUACGUGCCAGCCGCCGCGGUAA